CGGGAUGUAGCGCAGCCCGGUAGCGCGCCACGUUCGGGACGUGGAGGCCGCGAGUUCGAAUCUCGCCAUCCCGA
rnacentral:tRNA from 1 species